rnacentral:rRNA from 1 species
GAGAGCUUGCUCUCGGGUGACGAGCGGCGGACGGGUGAGUAAUGUCUGGGAAACUGCCUGAUGGAGGGGGAUAACUACUGGAAACGGUAGCUAAUACCGCAUAAUGUCGCAAGACCAAAGUGGGGGACCUUCGGGCCUCAUGCCAUCAGAUGUGCCCAGAUGGGAUUAGCUAGUAGGUGGGGUAACGGCUCACCUAGGCGACGAUCCCU